AACAAAGCAACAGACAUGCUGAAACAACAGACACCUACAAUUCCCAAGUUUUUGUCUUUCCUUUAUGUUACCUUGUCACCUCAGCCUAGUAGAUACCCACUAGAGUCUAUCCACUAAUUUCAAACAAUACCAACGAUUAUAAAAAUCGCAUGAUAAGAAAGUUAACCGACUUUGGCUUACACAAACAGAUGUAUAAUGCACUCACUCAUCAACAACAACCAAAA
rnacentral:misc_RNA from 1 species